rnacentral:rRNA from 1 species
ACUCCUACGGGAGGCAGCAGUGGGGAAUAUUGCACAAUGGGCGCAAGCCUGAUGCAGCCAUGCCGCGUGUAUGAAGAAGGCCUUCGGGUUGUAAAGUACUUUCAGCAGUGAGGAAGGCAGGUACGUUAAUAGCGUGCUUGUUUGACGUUAGCUGCAGAAGAAGCACCGGCUAACUCCGUGCCAGCAGCCGCGGUAAUACGGAGGGUGCGAGCGUUAAUCGGAAUUACUGGGCGUAAAGCGCAUGCAGGUGGUUUGUUAAGUCAGAUGUGAAAGCCCGGGGCUCAACCUCGGAAUUGCAUUUGAAACUGGCAGACGUAGAGUACUGGUAGAGGGGGGUAGAAUUUCAGGUGUAGCGGUGAAAUGCGUAGAGAUCUGAAGGAAUACCGGUGGCGAAGGCGGCCCCCUGGGACAGAUACUGACACUCAGAUGCGAAAGCGUGGGGAGCAAACAGGAUUAGAUACCCUGGUAGGAUAGCG